UUGGACAAUGGGCGAAAGCCUGAUCCAGCCAUGCCGCGUGUGUGAAGAAGGUCUUCGGAUUGUAAAGCACUUUAAGUUGGGAGGAAGGGUUGUAGAUUAAUACUCUGCAAUUUUGACGUUACCGACAGAAUAAGCACCGGCUAACUCUGUGCCAGCAGCCGCGGUAAUA
rnacentral:rRNA from 1 species